CCUACGGGAGGCAGCAGUGAGGAAUAUUGGUCAAUGGCCGUAAGGCUGAACCAGCCAAGUCGCGUGACGGAAGAAGGAACUCUGGUUUGUAAACUUCUUUUAUAGGGGAAUAAAGGUAUCCUCGUGUGGAUAUUUGCAUGUACCCUAUGAAUACGCAUGGGCUAACUCCGUGCCAGCAGCCGCGGUAAUACGGAGGAUGCGAGCGUUAUACGGAUUUAUUGGGUUUAAAGGGCGCGUAGGUUGUUCUUGAAGUAAGCGGUGAAAGUCUGUGGCUCAACCCUAAAAGUGCUGUGGAAACUGGAAGACUUGAGUGUGUGUGGGGUAGGCGGAAUGCGUGGUGUAGCGGUGAAAUGCAUAGAUAUUACGCAGAACUCCGAUUGCGAAGGCAGCUUACUAAGCCAUAACUGACACUGAAGCACGAAAGCGUGGGGAUCAAACAGGAUUAGAUACCCGGGUAGUC
rnacentral:rRNA from 1 species